rnacentral:rRNA from 1 species
UACGUAGGGGGCUAGCGUUGUCCGGAAUCAUUGGGCGUAAAGAGCGCGCAGGCGGCUGGUCAAGUCCGAUGUGAAUCUCCCGGCUCAACUGGGAAACUGCAUCGGAAACUGAUCGGCUUGAAGAUGGGAGAGGGUAGUGGAAUUCCCGGUGUAGUGGUGAAAUGCGUAGAUAUCGGGAGGAACACCUAUGGCGAAGGCAGCUCGCUGGGACGUUACUGACGCUGAGACGCGAAAGCGUGGGGAGCGAACAGG